rnacentral:rRNA from 1 species
UACGUAGGGGGCAAGCGUUGUCCGGAAUCAUUGGGCGUAAAGCGCGUGUAGGCGGUCCGGUAAGUCCGCUGUGAAAGUCGGGGGCUCAACCCUCGGAUGCCGGUGGAUACUGUCGGGCUUGAGUACGGAAGAGGCGAGUGGAAUUCCUGGUGUAGCUGUGAAAUGCGCAGAUAUCAGGAGGAACACCAAUUGCGAAGGCAGCUCGCUGGGACGUUACUGACGCUGAGACGCGAAAGCGUGGGGAGCAAACAGG